GAUGAACGCUAGCGGCAGGCUUAACACAUGCAAGUCGAGGGGUAACAGGAGUGCUUGCACUCGCUGACGACCGGCGCACGGGUGCGUAACGCGUAUAGAACCUACCUUUUACUGAGGGAUAGCCUUUAGAAAUGAAGAUUAAUACCUCAUGGUAUUGUAAUUUGGCAUCAGAUUAUAAUUAAAGAUUUAUUGGUAAAAGAUGGCUAUGCGUCUUAUUAGCUAGAUGGUAAGGUAACGGCUUACCAUGGCAACGAUAAGUAGGGGCCCUGAGAGGGGGAUCCCCCACACUGGUACUGAGACACGGACCAGACUCCUACGGGAGGCAGCAGUGAGGAAUAUUGGGCAAUGGAGGCAACUCUGACCCAGCCAUGCCGCGUGCAGGAAGACUGCCCUAUGGGUUGUAAACUGCUUUUAUACAGGAAGAAACACACCUACGUGUAGGUGCUUGACGGUACUGUAAGAAUAAGCACCGGCUAACUCCGUGCCAGCAGCCGCGGUAAUACGGAGGGUGCAAGCGUUAUCCGGAAUCAUUGGGUUUAAAGGGUCCGCAGGCGGUCAAUUAAGUCAGAGGUGAAAUCCCAUAGCUCAACUAUGGAACUGCCUUUGAUACUGGUUGACUUGAGUUAUACGGAAGUAGAUAGAAUAAGUAGUGUAGCGGUGAAAUGCAUAGAUAUUACUUAGAAUACCGAUUGCGAAGGCAGUCUACUACGUAUAUACU
rnacentral:rRNA from 1 species